AAGAUCUCGGCUCCUGGAANGCACCGAGCUCCAAAGCUCAGGCGCUCAAGGAUGGAUCUGCGGCCUAUCAGGUAGUAGUGGGUGUAGAGUACCUACUAGCCUACGACGGGUACGGGUUGUGAGAGCAAGAGCCCGGAGAUGGAUUCUGAGACACGAAUCCAGGCCCUACGGGGUGCAGCAGGCGCGAAAACUUUACAAUGCCGGCAACGGCGAUAAGGGGACCUCGAGUGCCAGGUUACAAAUCUGGCUGUCGUGAUGCCUAAAAAGCAUUGCAUAGCAAGGGCCGGGCAAGACCGGUGCCAGCCGCCGCGGUAACACCGGCGGCUCGAGUGGUAACCGUUAUUAUUGGGUCUAAAGGGUCUGUAGCCGGCCGGAUAAGUCUCUUGGGAAAUCUGGCAGCUUAACUGUCAGGCUUUCAGGAGAUACUGUCUGGCUCGAGGCCGGGAGAGGUGAGAGGUACUUCAGGGGUAGGGGUGAAAUCUUGUAAUCCUUGAAGGACCACCAGUGGCGAAGGCGUCUCACCAGAACGGACCUGACGGCAAGGGACGAAAGCUAGGGGCACGAACCGGAUUAGAUACCCGGGUAGUCCUAGCCGUAAACGAUACUCGCUAGGUGUCGGCCACGGUGCGACCGUUGUCGGUGCCGUAGGGAAGCCGUGAAGCGAGCCACCUGGGAAGUACGGCCGCAAGGCUGAAACUUAAAGGAAUUGGCGGGGGAGCACCACAACGGGUGGAGCUUGCGGUUUAAUUGGAUUCAACCCCGGG
rnacentral:rRNA from 1 species